CUUGGUCAUUUAGAGGAAGUAAAAGUUGUAACAAGGUUUCCGUAGGUGAACCUGCGGAAGGAUCAUUAUCAAAACAGCGGACUUCGGUCUUUGCUGCACCCUUGUCUUUUGCGCACCGAAUUGUUUCCUCGGCGGGCUUGCCUGCCGGUUGGACAUUAUCAAAACCUUUUUGUAGUUGCAAUCAGCGUCAGAAAAAUCAUAAUUAUUACAACUUUCAACAACGGAUCUCUUGGUUCUGGCAUCGAUGAAGAACGCAGCGAAAUGCGAAAAGUAGUGUGAAUUGCAGAAUUCAGUGAAUCAUCGAAUCUUUGAACGCACAUUGCGCCCCUUGGUAUUCCAUGGGGCAUGCCUGUUCGAGCGUCAUUUUGUACCCUCAAGCACUGCUUGGUGUUGGGCGUUUGUCCUGCAGAGGACUCGCCUGAAAGCGAUUGGCGGCCAACGUAGUCGUGGCAGAGCGCAGCACAAUCUCGCGUCUCUCCCCUCUGCGUCGGCGUCCAUGAAGCCCACAAUCUCAACGUUUGACCUCGGAUCAGGUAGGGAUACCCGCUGAACUUAAGCAUAUCAAUAAGCGGAGGA
rnacentral:misc_RNA from 1 species